UCACGAAGCUUCAAUAGGCCUGCACCUGGAGGGUUAAAAAAAAAGCGCGGGGGAGAAUCAGUAAUCGAAAGGAUUUAAAGCUCCAAUCUGCGGCUGACAGAUUGGAUGAAAAGGAUAAACUAUAUGAAGAAACAGAGAGAGAGAGAGAGACUCACCAUGUUUGCGAGCUUUAACACGAGCAGAAACUGCAAUCCAAACUUUUCUGACCGGAAAAACCAUCUUGUGCCACCAAUCAUCCAUGGUUUUAAUCCUGGGUUUCUUCCUCCGAUUCCCUCCUAAUCUACUCAAUAUUCCCCGUAUUCCGGCCAGGCCUCUUCUCUCUGAUCUCUCUUCUGCAAAA